GCCAGACUCCUACGGGAGGCAGCAGUGGGGAAUAUUGCACAAUGGGGGAAACCCUGAUGCAGCGACGCCGCGUGGGUGAAGAAGUAAUUCGUUACGUAAAGCCCUAUCAGCAGGGAAGAAAAUGACGGUACCUGAGUAAGAAGCCCCGGCUAACUACGUGCCAGCAGCCGCGGUAAUACGGAGGAUGCGAGCGUUAUCCGGAUUUAUUGGGUUUAAAGGGUGCGUAGGCGGGUUAUCAAGUCAGCGGUAAAAUCGUGGAGCUCAACUCCAUCCAGCCGUUGAAACUGAUGAUCUUGAGUGGGCGAGAAGUGUGCGGAAUGCGUGGUGUAGCGGUGAAAUGCAUAGAUAUCACGCAGAACUCCGAUUGCGAAGGCAGCAUACCGGCGCCCGACUGACGCUGAAGCACGAAAGCGUGGGUAUCGAACAGGAUUAGAUACCCGAGUA
rnacentral:rRNA from 1 species